AACGAUGAAACUUUACUGACUUCUUCGGAAAGAUUUAAAGCGGAUUAGUGGCGGACGGGUGAGUAACACGUGAGUAACCUGCCUUACACAAGGGGAUAGCCGUUGGAAACGACGAAUAAUACCCUAUGAAACUAUCACCUCGCAUGAAGCGAUAGUCAAAGUGUUAGCGGUGUAAGAUGGACUUGCGUCUGAUUAGCUAGUUGGUGAGAAAAAAGCCCACCAAGGCAACGAUCAGUAGCCGGCUUGAGAGAGUGUACGGCCACAUUGGGACUGAGACACGGCCCAGACUCCUACGGGAGGCAGCAGUGGGGAAUUUUGCACAAUGGGGGAAACCCUGAUGCAGCGACGCCGCGUGAUUUAGAAGGCCUUCGGGUUGUAAAAAUCUUUUGUAUAGGAAGAAAAUGACAGUACUAUACGAAUAAGGUCCGGCUAAUUACGUGCCAGCAGCCGCGGUAAUACGUAAGGACCGAGCGUUGUCCGGAAUCAUUGGGCGUAAAGGGUACGUAGGCGGGUCACUAAGUUAGAAGUCAAAGGCUAUAGCUCAACUAUAGUAAGCUUCUAAAACUGGAGACCUUGAGUAAUGGAAGGGAAAGUGGAAUUCCUAGUGUAGCGGUGGAAUGCGCAGAUAUUAGGAGGAAUACCGGUGGCGAAGGCGACUUUCUGGCCAUUAACUGACGC
rnacentral:rRNA from 2 species